CCCCUAGACGUUCUGGGCUGCACGCGCGCUACAAUAAUACGCACAGCGAGUAUCACCGAGCUCGAAAGGGCAAGGUAAACAAUAGAAAAGGUACUGUAAUGGUUAUAGAUCCUUGUAAUUAUUGAUCUUCAACGAGGAAUUCCUAGUAAGUAUGUGUCAUCAUCACGCACUGAUUACGCCCCUGCCCUUUGUACACACCGCCCGUCGCUCCUACCGAUUGGGUGAGCCGAUGAAACUCUCGGAUGUAGGCUAUUCAUAGCCCGCAGAAGAGAUUUGAAUCGUAGCGCUUAGAGGAAGGAGAAGUCGUAACA
rnacentral:rRNA from 1 species